AUUGCGCCACCGCACUCCAGCCUGGGCGACAGAGCGAGACUGCGUCUCAAAAACAAGAAUAAAUAAAUGAAGUCCAGGUUUAGAUUCCUGCUGUAACACUCAGGAGCACAUCCAGUUACUCAGUCUCUCCAGGCAUCAGUUUCCUUAUCUGUAAAAGGGGGAUAACAGUACCUACUCUAUUUGACUACUGUGAGGGUUAAAUUAGAUGAUGCAGGUAAAAUGCUUAUCCCUGUGCCUGACCCAUAAUACCUAAUCAAUAAUUGAAUGUUUCUCUUGUUUUCGUACCUACUAAACAAAAGAGAAAAUGCACUCUAGAGAAGUGAUUUGCCCCAAAACUCACACCAACUAAUGUGUAGCUGGGACUAAAAUUCAUGCUCAGAAAUUCUCAGCCCAAUGCUUUUCUUCAGCCCAUCUUCUACACCUUAGUUUUCUCAUUUUUAAGUGGGAUAAUAAUCUCAUGUGAAGUAUUGUAGUAAUCUCUUAUUAAGGCUAAUGAAUGAAUACAUGUAAAGCUUUAGUACAGUAUCUGGCACCUAGUAGGUGCUCCUAAAUUAACUAUAGGUAUUGUUAUCAUUAUUAAUACUAUAUUAUGUUAAUUACCUGUCAUCUUGGCAGGCCCACACUAAUGCACAAGAACAUUACAUUGUCUAUACGUUUAUAUCUUCACCAGCAAUAUGCAUUUUAGCUGUUCUAAUUAUCAUAAGACAAUAAUAAAAGUGUGAUAUAGUUUGUCUCUGUGUCCCCACUCAAAUCUCAUCUGGAUUUCUAAUCCCCACAUUUCAAAAGAGGGAGGUGAUUGGAUCAUGGGAGUGGUUUCCCCCAUGCUGUUCUCGCGAUAGCGAGUGAGUUUUCAUGAGAUCUGACGGCUUUAUAAGGCGCUCUUCCCCCUUUGCUUUCUCUUCUCCCUCCUGCCGCCUUAUGAACAGGGUGACUGUUUCCCCAUCGGCCAUGAUUUUAAGUUUCCUGAGGCCUCCCCAGUCAUGCUGAACUAUACUGUUCCUAAGAGCAUCUGCCCCAGUCAACUUCUCAUCCACAGAUAUUAAUCUCAGUCAACCUCCAGAUUUUUAGACAUAUUUUGAAAGUCUUUCAUCACCAGAUUUCAAAGGUGUUGAUAGAUAUCUAUUUUUAAACAUGGAAAGAUGGUGGUGCAAUGGCCAGUGAGUACAAAAAGUUAAAAAAUUGUAAAAAG
rnacentral:lncRNA from 1 species